AUAAGGUGCUCUACUGUGUGACACAACGUGAAUCAAGGACAGUACUGUGACGUGAAUACGGUGCUCUACUGUGUGACACAACGUGAAUCAAGGACAGUACUGUGACGUGAAUACGGUGCUCUACUGUGUGACACAACGUUAAUCAAGGACAGUACUGUGACGUGAAUACGGUGCUCUACUGUGUGACACAACGUGAAUCAAGGACAGUACUGUGACGUGAAUAAACUGCACUACUGUGACAUGACGUGAAUAAGAUGAAUUCAGGGCUGGUAGCACGACGUCACAGGAGGCGGGACAGGCGCCGCCAAGCUGUACCACCACCACCACCACCUGCUGCGCUGCCAGUACCACCACCACCACCACCACCACCUGCUGCGCUGCCAGG